CCAUAUUUAACGAAGCUACCACUCGAGAGCUGAAGGGCAUUUCGUCUGCGCAUACAUUUACUUACUGACGAUCAAGAUGUGCACAUGCGACAACAAACCUUAAAGUCACAUAGAACACAAGGCUUUAAAAAAUGUUCCAGCUUCAGGAUUGAUUCACUCUUACUACGACCUUUAGCAAAUUCGUUUUUGGGAGGUUGAGAUGGAUUUUCCAAGUCAUGGUUCACAACUGUCUUUGGCCUUUUUGCUCUCCAAGUCUGUUGUACAUGAUAUGUAGGCAUGUGUCUUAACAACGGUUAUAGUCUUGCCUCAAUCAUCUCCGGUUUUACCUCAUUUUGUUACUGUGUUUGGGGAGAUGUGAUGUGACCCCACUAGAUAGAGUUGAUACUAUUGACAGAGCGGAUAGGUGUGACGUUUACUGAGCCUAGCUAGUAUUCAAGAGAAUGUAAUUAGUACCAGAAGUUUCUGGUAUAAAUGAUCUAUCUUUUGUUCUCUCCUUGCAACUUGCCUCAACUAGCUUAUGCUAUA